ACAAACGUAUUGUAUUUUAGACACAUUACAACCAGGAGAACAAACUGGAAGCUCUAUAGGUAUGUUCUGACCAUUAAAAUAUCUGGACAGUGUUAAAAAAAAAAUCAGGAGUUUAACAUAAAGCUAGUUUUCCGCCUUGCCCUGAAAACCUGGAUGAUCUGGACUCUUUGGGUCUCUGUUCCCAGAUGGUCCCCAGCAGGCAGAGCCAGGAGGGUGGCCCAUCAGGAGUGGCACGGUCCUUCCACUGGGCACAUCCCCUCCCCAGGCCACUGUACUCCUUCAUUACCUGCAUGGCCCCUGAAGACACUGGAGUUGAUGACUUCCUGGAGUGGAUAAAAUGGGCUUUUGUGAGCUAGCCUGGGAACCAAGCAGUAUGUUUGAUAUUAUUUCAUUGCAAAAGUGGAUCUCAGCUUUUAAAGUAAGCAGAUGUUUUAAAUAUCAGCAAUGCAAAUUUGGGAAUACUUAGCCUCAGCUGGAAUGUGUGUGUUCUCCAUGAUGGACUGUUUCUGAUGCUUUUCCUGUGCUGUAUCUUGGCUUAGCACUUAGUAGGUACUUAAUAAAUGAUUUACCUCAGGUGGUAACCAAGCGCCUGUUGUCCACCAGCUCCCAGGGAGUGAACAGAAAUGCCAUCUUGCUGUGGACUGGGCCUGUCAGUUCCACCUGAGACCAGAUCGCUGCCAGAUUUAUCUAGAACAUCCACUCUAGCUCUAGAUAACAGAGAUUGGAAUGUGUCCUCUGCACAGCUUCCCUGUCUGGAGAGCGAGGUAAAGACCUAGACCCCGUCGAGUUGGCCCUAAAGAGGAAACAGGACAGGGAGGCCGGCAUGAAGCCGGCAUGAAGACUGCUUUUCUGGCUGUUGCCUGCCGAACUGGAGUUUGUGGCCGGUACACAGUGCUUGCAUUCCACACCCUGAACAAGGGCGGGUCAAAGUUCAGCUCAUUCCCCUUUAAAGAAAAAAAUUCUUUGUCUUUGGCAUUUCGAAGUUUUGACCCAGAUCAGUCGGAGGCCACGGAAUGCUCAUGAAGUCUGGAGAGUUUGUUUAGUUCCUGAGUCCGGUAGCUGCCGAGGAGCCAAAGAGAGCCGGCAACCUGUUGGGCUUGAGCUGAAGCCUUGCCUUUUCAAGUUUGUGCUGGCCUGGCCUCCCCAAGCCUCUGAGGAGGACUCAGGAGAGUGCAGCUUGCUCUGUGAGUGGGUGACAACCUCUUGGCGACUCAGGCUCAGCUGAGGAUGGUGCCAGUGUGCCGGAGACAGCCGUCAUACUGCCGGAUAGAGUGGCUCACUUGCAUGUAUUUGGAACAAAAAAAGGAGAUGCCUGGCAGCCCCGCUCUCUGCAGUGCUGUUGAGCCACCAAUUUUUGUGGUUUUGUGACCACAAGUGCUGACUGAUGCGACAUGACCCCAGUCUUGUCAGUGAAUCAUCACCAGGCUGCUUACUGGAAACUGGAUGCAGCAAGGAAAUAGGAUUUAACCGCUCUCUGCCUCCCAGGUAAGUCCAGUGUGGGCUGCUCCCUCCAGCCUUCCCCCAUCCUCCUUCCUUCCCACGAACACCAUUUUCCUUAUUCCGCCGGGGAAUCCUCAGACGUCUCCAUUCAGAAUCUCCCAAACGAUUGUUCUCUUUUUUGCAUUCUUCUCCUUCUGGCUUUUCUGUGUGGGGUUAGUAACCAGCACAGGGUUGGGGGCAGAAUGGGCAGCUGAAGUGGUCGGGCUGUGCGGACGUGUGGGAGAUAGCUGGGUAGUGUUGCUGGGUGUGGCAGUUGGCAGAGCAUUUGGGCCUCCCACAGUAAUAGAAACUCUCUUUGGCUCCAGCAUCCAGCAGGAGGUUCUGGGUUUAACCCCUCGGUAAUCCUGGGAGCCUUCCUGGUGCCUGGGGAUUCUCUCCCCUGUGUAGUCUCAGUGGAUGGCCUGUCUUAACUCUAGAUACAUUUUGCCUUGAGGGGGCUUAGUCUAGGUUGGUGGUCUGGAGUUUGGACUGGGCUGAGCAGUGAGCUUUGGGACUCUCCCUAAUUUUGGGGUUUCUUUGAAUGAGCCACUUUCUUCCUCUAGGCCUUCAUUACCUUUGCCUUAAAAAACAAAAUCCCUGGUCCAGUAAGCCAUUGCAAAGCAUCUCUAGGAAGUUGACAAAGAAAUGCUUUUCUUCUGCCUCACUUGCUGCCGAUCACAGUAAUAGCAAUGGUGAUUAAAAAUGAAAAAUGAUGACGGCCUGCAGAAUCAGGGAGGUCAGUGGCAUCAUUGAUACAAUUCACAAAGCAGACUCUCGGUGCCCACACAUCACUAGGAAGUCUCUCUCCUAUCGAGUAGAUGACUACAGCAUUCUUGGCCAGUAAAGCCAGUUGGAAUUAGCCAACAGCAGAUUGGUCUGGGCUCUAAAGAUAAAAGGAAUUAUGUUGGGUAAUUUUCGGAGGUACCUAUGGGAUCCUACCUCUGGCCACACAGUGGUCGCCUCUCUCUGCUCAUAUGUUUCGGUGGGGGUGGGGGGUUCCUCUUCCCCAUGCUGCUCCCGUUGCUAUCCAGGGAAGAUUGGCCAAUUCUGCUUCCUGUUAUUUCUUCUUCUCCUCUGUCCAUUUGAGGUGAGUCUCUAGGUUGGCUGUGAACAGCCUGAGGAACCCAGGGCUGUUUGGAAGAAUCUGAUGUCUCUUCCUUCAAGGACCCUGACAGGUCUCAGCCCUCCAGCAGUACUGCAGUGAGGGAUGGCAGGGGGUGUUGGAGUGGAGAGAUAUCGACUUGGGUGCAGCUGGGGAGACUAAAAGGAGUGAGCCAAGUCCCUCAAGAAGUGUUGGCUAGAGUCUGGCCAGCCCUGGCUGUAGGGCUGGAGCCAGACGUAGCUGCUGGCUGUGCUUGGGAGUCUCAGCCCUCAUAUGUGCAGUGUGUCCCUGGGCAUGGCUCUUCGUGAUCCCCACUCCCACGAAUAGCCCUGUCCUUGGUUAGAUUGGGAAAACCAGGGUGGGAAGUAAAGGGGAGGUUGGUUUUGCUCGUGGUCAUGCAGUUAUCUCUCUGGCCUCUGAUGUUUCCAGAAUUGGGAUUGGUGCUUCCCUGCUGAUUUUCCUAUUUUUGUCCCUCAUCUGGUUCUUUUCCUCCUUGCUCACCAGCCUGGGUUCUACACACAUGACAUGGGGCAUUGUGUGUUCCCAAUGAGGAUAGCAGAACAGUUGGUAUCUCCUGAGAGAGGGGCCAGCAUAUCUGGCACUUUUUUCUUGACCUUUGAAUUUCUGAGGUCUGGGAGUCAGGAGGCAGCAUGGGGCCUCUCCAUCCGGGAUCCAGCAGAGGUUAACAGAGUUGGUGGCUCUGGAGCUGAGGUGGUGUGGCUUGGCUGGGAGUUGUGGGGGAGAGGCCCUGCCAGGGGCCCUGAUUGGUCAGUACCUUCUCUAUUCCAUUGAAUCCUGGUCCGGUCAGCUCUGUGAAUUGUUUAAUGCAUAUCUUGGCUCUGUCCCCUGGCUCGAGUGUCCCUAAGGCUGCAGCCACAGCUUUAGAGAGGAUCUGUACCUUGUGCUGGUCACUUUUUUUGGGCGUGUUACCUCCCUCUGAGAUAUGUAAGAGAUACCACCCUUUCCCACCAGCCGGCUGUCUGUGGGAGGCCCUCAUUUUGCUUUGCUUUUCUGAGACUUGGAGUGACUGUGAGGAAAGCAUGGACUGAGUUUGCUUUCUUGCUGGUUCCUUCCACAAGAGCUGCUCAUGGGCUGAUAAAGCCAGAGAACACCUCCAGGGCCCCAUGGCCUGUGCGGAGCCUGGUACCAUAGUGUCAAGCCUACAGGGAUGGACUGGGGACAUGGGGGCAGAUAGAGCCACGUGGGGAGGUGGUAUGUGUGGUUAGAUCACAGGAGCAAGUCCAGGAGGGUGUGGGAGGACAAGUCCAGUGCUCAGCCAGGGCUGCCUGUCAUGGCCCAGGAUGGAUGUGUGCAUCUCCUGUGAAGGAUUUGCGUCUGAGUGCCUGGUACUGAAGGUAGGAUGGUGCCCCGAUCAGGGUCUAUAAUGAGGCAUGAAGGUAUGAGAUGGGCAUCAGAGUUGUUGGUCCAAGGGAAACUGACCUUUUUAAAGGGCUCUCCUCUCCUUAUCUGAUUUCAUCCUCAGAACAACCAUAUGACAUAGGGAUCACUUCCCUUUUAUAGUUAAAGAAACAGAUUAAGUGACUUAACCCAAGGUUAUGCAUUUGGUAAGUGAGGUUGUUGAGAUUUAAAUGCAUGCACUUCUUAUUCCAAAGCCUCUACGUUAUCUUUACUCUUUUGGGCUGAAGUCAGACAUUUUUGUGAACUAAGAUUCUCAGAGGACUGAUGUGAACCAGAGUGAAAAGGCAGACACCCGAAGGAACUUUCCAGUCACUGGGGACGGUUGUGCCGCAUUCCUUUAGGGGGAGGCAGGGCAGACCCAAAUGCCCUUUGGUAGCCAUGGACAGGCAGAGCUGAGUAAGGCCAGUACAUGGCGUCUGCUGCUGUGUACGGAGCCUCUGCUAUGUGCCAGGGACUGUGCCAGGCGCUAGAGAUACAGAACUUGACAAAGCCAACUUUCCACUUUCAUGGGGCAUACAUUCUAGUGUGGAGAGACACCGCUAAUAAUGAUUUUUAAAAAGAAUUUAAAAAUGUACAGGGUAGACAUAUAUGGAGAUUGUGUGGGGAUGAAAAGGGGGACCCCCCACACACAUAAGGAGGAGAAUUCAGAUGAUGGUCAGAGGGUUCUAGAGACUUAGGACCUCAGCCAUCUGAAGCCACAUCAAUUGAGCUUUCCUUCAGGGAGUUAGGACUGACACAAACUAACCCCCUCUUUUUUCCUAAUAACUUGGGAAAUCCAUCCAAGGUCCCCAUGGCUUACAGGAACUUGUCGUGAGUCAGGGAUCAAGGUGGAGUAGAUGUCAAGCCUUUGGUCUCCGGCAGACUGGUUCUCUCCUGUCUGCCAUGGUUGCUGUUGGCCUUCUGCCUCACACCCUCCCAGGCACCAGCUGACUUCUUUCCUCAGCCUGGUCACUGUGCCCCACACUUGUCCAUGCAGCACAGGGAAACGUGCAGGUUAGGUCUUUGCCGAGCCAUUGGUCAAAUGUUCCUGCAGGAGGCUGGUUCUGAACUCAGCCUGUCCUGCCAGAACGAGCCGUUCCCAGAGCUAAUCGUCUCACGAUAGGGAAGGGAUGGGCACCAGGCAUAGAGAAGUGACCUGUGCCAGAUGCUUGGUUGAGCUGUGUCUUGAGAGGCGGAGGCAGGUUGGUGGUGCUGGGGACAGGGCAGGCAUGUGUCAUGUGUUCAGCGCAUGUAGCUCCAGGGCUCGGGACUUGUUUACUUGGUGGAAGAGGCAGCGGACCUGCGGAGUCAGGCCAUGUGAUUGUUGGCUCUUUGGCUGAUCAUGGACAGCUGACCCGCCGGACUGCACACACUGCCAUCUGCUGCCAGGGGUCUGAAGUUGCACAGGGAUGAGGUAGUGUAGUUGGGGGUGCUCAGGGAGGAGGAGGGUCAGGAAAGUGGGGUUUGUGUUGCUCUGUGUUGAGUCAGCCGACCCUGAUUCUGGUCCUAGCUCUUGUUGGUAAAAACUCACUCACUUUCCUCCUUUCAGCUCCAGUUUCAUUAUCUAUGAAAUGAGGGGAUGGAACCAGAAUCUCUUUGGAGGUUCCAGCUGUAUCCUGGGGCCUCCCUGAAUGUUCAUGGAGAUGUUCCUUAGCCAGUAAUUCAAGAUGAGGAAAACUAGGCCCAGGUUUCCACAAGAGAAGGGGAGGGAUCUUGAUGACCUGUCUCAGAGCGGCUGAAGUGGUACUGUUGGAAUUAGGGUGGGUGGGUGGGAGGAGGUAGUUUUUAAAGACCUCCCAGAAGUGGAAGCAGAGGGCUGGAGGUUUCGUGAAGGUGUUGAUGAGGAUCCACCGGGUGGUAGGGGACAUGGCUACGCGCUUCCCCCGGGAGGCUUGUUGGAGAUGGGUUUAUGUGGGAGCUGCUGGGGGUGCCUGCUGUCCUGCAAGGGGCUGACCCAAGGGACCCUGCUCUAGGAAAGAUGCUCCGUCCUGUCUGGCCCUAAACCCUGGAGAGAGAAUGCAGCUGUGGUUUGAGGGAGGGUCUGUGCCCCUUGCUGUCAGGAAGUUUUCCUUUAUAUUUAGCCUUCUCUUUUCAUGUAUUUUUUGAGGCCCUCGACUAAAAAAUUAAAUUUAAUUUUAAAAAAUAACAAUGAAAAAAAUAAAAAAUAAACAAAAAUAUCUCAGAGCCACUGGUUCCAUUUUGGCUUUUUAGUCUUGAGUCACUCUUAAAAAGAUAGCAAAAUAAAACACAUGCAGGAAAGCCGAAGGUCCCAGGCCCAGCCAGAUGGGGGCUAGGAGUGGCUGGGACUCUGGCCUAGCUUCUCCAUGGCAGCGUUAGUCCCAGACGUACACCACUUCUGCAAGGCUGUGUGGGUAGGAGCCCCUGGGGCUGAGGGGGCACAUUGUGCAAUCUGCUAAGCAGAAUGUAGAGUUUUAAAAUAGCUACCUUUCUCCAAGACACUAUCUGCUUGCCGCUUUGUGGGAUGUUUACCUGGGAUUAAUAAUAGCUGAGUGCCACCCCACUGCCAGUAUGGAAUAGCAAACAGCGAUCUGGGCUAGGACUCAGGCAGGAGAGGAAUGGAGUAAUAACCAUCGUAUCAGCUCACAUAGUUCUUUUCAUACUUGCUGGCUCAUUUGGUCCUCACACAACCCUGAGAGGGUAGGUGGUCUUAUCCUUGUCGUUGGUAAAACUGAACCUGAGAGUCAAUCCUGCCAAGAUCUGACUGCUUGUAGCCGCUUCUCGUGGGUCUCCCAUCUAGGUCCUCUGACUUCAGCUGUUAUUUCUCUGGGUUCUGACUAGUGGGGCAGGGACAGGAGUAGGGGAGUGGAGUCUUUGGCAGUUUCCUUAAUUUCUGAAGGCCUUAGAGGGCCUAGAGAUGCCUUUUCUAUGUGUUGAAUGGGAAACGGAACCUCAGCAUGUCCAGGUUCUCCAACUCUCUGAUUCUUCAGACUUCUUGGAGCUCUUGUGAGAACUGGCUUGCACUUUUUGGCUGGGAAGCCAGCCACUCACCAUGUGUUCUUGGAGAGGUUUCCUGUAUUUGGAAGCUUCUGGAAUAUGUGAUGCAUCAAACCACUGUGACACAUCUGUAUGGCACCUCAUGCCUAUGCACACAGGCAUGCUUCUGCUGAGUGCAGCUCACUUAGAGAUGAGGCCCAGUGUAGGGUUUUUGAAAUUUUUCCAACACAUUUGUAAGAGAUGCCCUGAGCCUUGCCCAGCAUGCAUGUUGUGUGUAUGCUACCUGUUUGCUGGCUAAUGUACAGCGCCUGCUGGAAGCCUUGGCUAAUGUACAAUGUAAAGUAAGGGACUAGAAACACUGGCUUUAGUUCUGAGUGUCUGCUUCAUGAUUGACUUGAAAAAGUAGGGCUUACCCACAGAGAGAAAGGUGGGUAAGAGAACUCGUGGGUGUCAGUUUUCCUUAAAGGCAGAGCAUAAUCCCCCACUCUUUAUAAGGGCUGGUAAGGCAGAGUAUUGGACAGCAGGACUUCUUGGCCAGUUAGCCCUCUUGAGUGACCUUUGUUUAAAUAGACCCAGAACUUGUAUGAAGGAGGAAAUAAUGGUUUAUCUUUAUUUACAGCGGAUUUAGCCAUGAUGGUUUAGGCUUUUUCUGGGGGUAUUCCUUUAGGACAGUUGAGGUUGGACAGGGGCAGCAUGCAUAUGUGUCUCUAAAUGUCUGUCCUUUGGUAUUUCCUGAAUGCAUCCUUGGCUCAUACUGAAACCCUGUGAUGGGGAAUCCACAGCGGAAUUGUUUUAGUGGAUAAAGCCUUCUGUAGCUUCAUGUGUGAAGAUUUGUCAUGUUGGAUCCAGUUCAUUCUGUCCACUUGAAGGAUGGAAAAGAGAGUGGGCAGAACUUGCAGCAAGGAGAGUGAUUUGGGCUAGACUUCUGGGAGAACUGUGCAUCACCUCUGCUGAGGGUUCCUGAGGAAAGAUGAAGCCUCUUUAUUUGAGGUAGGAGACUCGGUGUCCUCCACAGGAUCCUCCCAGUCCCAAGUCUGUGGCACUUUGAGACAGUCCCUGGAACAGCAUGAGGUUUGGGUGCCAGGAUCUAGAGCAGGCAUUUCUCUCCAUCUUUCCCAUCUGUCUUCAAGACAGGCCCAAGCUGGAUGCAAUUGAGGGGAUGCAUGGGCAGGGUACACCAAUGUGGUCAUCGAAUCUGGAACUUUGACCUUGUUUCCCUUUGCAGAGAGAACUUCUGGCACUGAUCUUAUAGGAACUGGUGUUAUUUGCAUAUAAAAAAAGAGAAAGGCAUGUUGUCCCUCAUCUUUUCCAGGAAAGAGUGCUGAGCUGCUCUAAUCCUAUGGUGGGGAGGGAGGAGGGCCGUGUAGAGGACGCAAGGCCAGACAUGGUUUGCUGGGAAGAAGGUAGGAGGUGGGAGAGGAACAUCCCAGGGCAGGCCCACAACUCUGGGAGCCACAGACAUUGCCUGCUAUACUAAAGGCAAAGGGAUGUGUUCAAAUAGGCCUACUAUUUAGCGGUAACCCACAGUCUGAAAUAAAUCAGUUAAUGGCUAAAUGAGAGUUGUAUUAAAUAUGGAAAAUCAUAUUUUUUGUGUGUCAUCACCACCUACAGAUUUAGCAUCAACAGGCCUGAAAGGCUGAGGAUGCUGAAAUGGGCCCUGUCCGUAAGAUCAUGCUUAUUUUAUAAUGACUUUUUGUCUCUUUUCAUUACUAUUUCCCACUCUUAUUCCUUAGGUCUACGUGAAUAUUUAUUUAUGCAGUUGUGUUAUUUCCUUGGGGUACAGUUCUUCCAGUGUCAUUGGCAUCAAUGAAUAUGUGACUUUGAUUUCAAGUGUAAACAAACCACUGGUUCACGGCAGGGACAAGCCAUCUCUGAGACAAGGGCUCCAGCAGCUGCCUACAGAUGCCCUUCCCCCAAUAGCCCUGGACUGUUUCGGCCAGACGCCUGAGACGAGAGUCAAGGGUGUUCUUGCAGGGACCUGCCCAACGCUAUGUCAUGUGUCCUGCCUGGAGGGUGGUGCUCACACAUGCAUCUUCCAGCCUUAUUAGCUGGUACUGCUUUUCAGCUUGACCCGAGGAGUGGUAUUGGAAGUUUGAGACCGUACAUCCCUUGCUAGGUGAGAAGGGGGUCAGAGAGGUCAGGCACAGACAGAGAAGGGAACGCAGGCUCCUGGCCACUAGCCUCUCUCAAGACAGGUGAACUUUGUGUUAAGCGAACUCAUUUAAUAUUUUGGGCCUAAUAGAAGUUAUUUGUAUUUUCUCUCCUCUCUUUUCCCUCCUCUCUCUCACUCACCCUCCCCCCACUCCCCAGCCUCCAAAGAAUUUAAUCUGCUGGACAACAAACAAUACUGUUAUAAAACUUUGAAAACAAGAGGGCGCGGCCUCCCUGACAAGGAGAAGGGCAUGUUGGGUAACGGCCUGAGGGAGCGUGCCAGGCCUGAGAUGGAGCCGGGCGAGAGCCCAGUUGGCUGGGUACCUGGGCGCCUGCCCCUGCAUAGCCCACUAGCCGCGCCAUCCCCAGGCCAGAGGGGAAGGAACCAAAACAAAAUGGGGGGCAGAGAAACGCUUGAAAAGGGAAGUUGCACAUGUUCCCCUCUCUCUGAUCUGAUGGGAAUGCACUAGACUGUGAAACUUCCUCCUCCACCUCUUCUCCCGAGUCCCUCCCUCCCUCUUACCCUCCUUCCUCCUCUCUCCUCCCUCCUUUCUCCUCCUUCCUCCUCCUGCUACUCACUGUUCUUGAGUCUGGCAGACAGAGGUCCUGAUAGCAGAAUGAGGCUGGAAUAGCACCAUAGGUGCAGCUACCAGCUGGGCCAGCCAAAGAGGAAGGAGAGAAAGUGGGCUUGCAGUUGGCUUUGGAUUCAAAUCUACCCUCUGUCUGGCCCAGCCUCCCUCCAUUCUAUUAGGGAAGUGGAACUACAUCACGCCACAGGGUGUGCCCAGUCCAUGUGUGUGGACCAGGUGUGUGCCCAGGUACUGGGGAGAACUGCCACUCAGAGAUUAGUUCAGGAAGCACCCUGGGCUUCCUGGUGCCCCCCUUGGGCUGUGCUCUGCUCUGGGGAGAGUGUUUGACUUGUUGAAAUGCUCUCUCCUUUGAGAUGCUGUGCUCUCCCUCCAGGGAGGAGCAGAGGCUGUGCUGCAAGAGGCUGGGGCAUGUCUCUGGAGGAGCUCUUGGGAACAGGAACGUGCUUCUCCCAGCGAGAGCAGCCAUGCCGUCUUGUGAGUGUGGUGCCUGGUAGGAUACUGCAUCUGUUAGUUACUUCCCAGUGGCUGAAGGAAGUGGUCACCAGCUCUGCCUGGGGGAGGUGGGGGAGCUGGGCUUUGGGGCGUCUCCCUCCCUACCUCCAGAGUUAGGUUUCACCUGAGACUGUGGUUUCACUUUUGACUCCAUCUUCACUGAGUCAAGCAGAUGAUUUAGGAAUGACCAGGGAGCAGCAUUGGUGGUUUGCCUUUGGAUCUGCAUUGGUUUGGACCCAUGAACUCUGUGGUGGGCAUUGUGUUUGUGUAAUAGACCAUUGGUAUGCUCAUUUUUCCUCUUGCAGAAAGCACUAGCUUUCUUGAAAGCAGUUCAGGGACAUGCCCAUCCUUCUGUGCCAGAGCUGAGCCCUUCUACUGGGGGAACAUGGAGACACGCGAGCUCCAGUCUUCAUUCCACUCCUCCUCCUUCCCUUUGCCCUCCACUGUCUCCUGCUGUCCCCCCAGCUCAUCCCAGGGGCAGGGUAACCUUGGUGCAUCCUCCCAUCCAGCCAGCAGUCCCGACCCAGGGCCCCCGUGCCUGGACUGAGUCUGGGGUUUAUGUCAGUAGUGUUAAGGGAGGGAUGGAAAACUGAACUUUUAGGAGUGCAGCUGCCUAGGAACAUAGACCUCCAUACCUCUGACGCAGGGGAAACCAGAAAAACCGAUGCUGGGUCCACGUAGGCUUGGAAGGCUGUUACUUUUUGCCUUCUUACCUGAAUAGGAAUUUGAGGGGCACUGUGGGUUUGGAGGAUGUGAUUCCCACACUGGGGCUCAGGGCCUGGGAAAUGCAGUGGUCCCUGGGUUCUGAGUCCUCCUUUGAAGGCCACCCUGCCAGAAAGGAAGAGCCUGAUGGAGGUUUCUGGGGACUUUGGGCCAGCCGGUAACUCCAUGCUCCCUCUGCUCCACCCUUGGCCCCUCAUGUGUAUACCAUUCCUUUUAUCACCCUUCCCUCUGAUUCACAGCCCCCACCCUGACAGCUAAAGACAGAAUGCCCAGGCUGCUGCCUAGAAUGACAGGAAGCUGGACUGCCCUUUCAGUUUAUACAUGCAAUGGCCUGGGACUGUCUCUUGAGGGCAAGACAUUCCCCUUUUACAAAAGAGCCUUCCCCAGGCCCCUCUCUCACCAAGAUGAGCUCUUCCUUGCUGCCAGGAGCCCUGAAAUCAGCAUUCCCAGAGGAAAGAAGAUGGCCAUCUGGGCUUGGCUUCCGGCUCCCCCCAUCUGGCUGGAACACACAUCAGUCACGUUUCCUGCCCAAGCCCUCCGAGCAUUUGAAUGUGCUGUGAGCAGCCUACCUCAGCCUCCUCUCUUUACACAUGAAGACACUGAGGCCCAUUCAGGGCAAGUGGCAGGUCCCUGUUCUCAGAGUUGGGGCCAAGCAGGUAUUAAAACCAUUGUGUUCUGAUUCACUGUGUGCCCAAGCAGAUUAAUGCCCUGGUGUGAGGUCGAGAAGCCUCCAGGUAGAAUGUGGGGACAGAAGUGGACCAGGCUAGAGUAUAGCUCCCACACCUUUCCCAUGCGUGGCAGCACUCGUAAGACUGACAUGCCCACCCUUCUGGAUGGGUGGUUUUCCUCCCCAGACAGCCCUGCCAACCCUUUCACCUUCAGCCAGUUUGUUUGGAGUCAUUAGGCUGAGGUGGGUAAAACCCAUCACCCUCCUUGGAUGGCAGAGCUCUCAGCAGGCUGGGAUUUUCAUGGGCUGCCUUCUUACAGGUCUAGGUGGCCUUCAGGCAUGGUGCCAGGGAAAGCAAGCCCCUUCCAGCCCUUACCAAACUAACUGGCUGCUUCCUAGUAGGGAACAGCCACCAGCUUGUUUCAGCGAAGAGUCAUUGCUCAGCUGAUUCUGAGAGGAGAAAACUGGUUCUGUUGGGAGGGCUGAGACCUGAAGGACCCCUUUUAUCCAGUGGAAUUGGAAAGGCAAAGGAUUUCAAUACUAACAUGAUUUUUUUCUCCACUUCUUUUAGAGUGUUUAAUUAAAGUGAUGCAUUGUUAAUGGCUUCUUAUCUCUUCUUCCAGAGAGUAAAGAGUUAAAUUUUAGAAUCCAGGAGUGGGGACCCAGACUGUGGCUUCUGUUAACUCCCUCAGUGGCAGUGGCGUCCUGCUAUGCACAGCCCCUCUGCUGUACUCCGAAUGGUCCCUUACGGGUAGCAGGAGAGACAUUAAAUAAUCACACUGAUGACCAAGUGAGAUAAGUGGUUUUUGAAGGAAAGAACUUGAGGCUGGCGAGGACCACUUAACCUUCUAGCAAGGGCUGGACUCAGGGAGGCUUUCCUGAGCUGCGGGGAGGAUGACAGGUUCCCUGGAGUGGUGGUGGGUGGGGGCGGGGCUGAGGGGUGGUAGCCAAGGGAGGGUGAAGGAGAGUAUUCCAGAAGAGACAACAGCUUAGGCAGGCAGGACCUCGCCAUGGAGGAAGGUGCUUUCUGAUCACUGCGGGACACCUGUGUGAUAGCUCAUAGGGAGGGGGUACUGGUAACUAAAAGUUGAUAAGGAAGAGUGGCUAAAAUGAAAAGCAGAAAAGUGAGAAUCUCAUCAAAUCCCCUCAUUUGACAGGAUUUGGACUCCCAGUAGUAACUGUCCUUAAACACUCACUCCUGACCUUACAACCCUGGCUGUUACCUGGUUAACAAGCCCCAGGUGUUGGCUACAGGUGUCAUCACUGAGAGCCCUUGUGUGCAGAUCUGCCCCAGCUCUCCCACCUGUGACUGAGGCUAGCAAGUCCCCCGUGGGCUGUAGAGCCUAGCGCUGGUGUCAGAAUCGCUUGUUGCAGGUUCAUCUUCAGUGUCUUUCCCACAGCCACAUGCUGGGGAAAGACGGCAAAGGCGCUAGAGGAGCAGGAGAACAAAGCAAGCUGCCCCAGACCACCCGGCUUUCGCAGAACCCAGAUGAUGCUCCUGUCUCCCCCUAAGUAUAACGUGUUAUGUAGUCAGUAUGAUCCCAUUCAGUGCAGAAGUAUCGCCUAGGAAUUUCCUGCCCCACCCACCCUGUUUUGUUCUUAAUGAAGUUCAAGAACAAAAUGAGAUGAUAGUCAAGUUAUGGAGCAGGCUGCAGUGGAUACAAGGGCAGAAACACAGUCUUUGGAGUUAGACCUGGGAUCUGCAUUGAUUGGUUGUGUGACUGCAGACAAGUUAUUUAGCCUCAUUAAGGAUGAAUUUCUUCGCAAAAAUUGGAAUAAUACCUGCCCCAUACGACUGUUGUGAGAAUUAAACACCGCAACUUUUGAUGUUCAAAUUCUAUUUCUUCUCCUUCUAGCAACACAUACUGUUAGUGCCAGGAACCAUAAAAAUUAUAAGGCUGUAUCUAGAGGCCUGAAAGGAAGCUAAAAUAUACAGUGUCUACUCUGUCUCUUUUCUCUUGGUUAUGGUAUCAGAGGAAAUACACAUAUUUUCUUAGCUUCAAACCACCAAAAAAGAUGAUGCAGUAAGGAGAUGGGAAAUCUAAUUUGGAAUACAGUGUGCAAAUCUUAUUUUCAAGCAGACUUUGAAAAUAAAACUCAAUUCUUACGUUAGAGGAUUAUCUGCUUAAUACAAUUAUAGGGUACCAGUUUUUGAAGUCACAUCGGGGUUAAAUAAGAUUGCAGGUUCAUGGGGUCAUAUUUGAAUGUUCUGAUACUUACAUAUGGGGUGGGAAGGAGGAAUGCAUGCUUUUCUCAAGUUAAGACACAUAAAAGAGUUGUCCUGGCCCAGGUGAGACUCGCCUUUGUGUAGCAGCUGGAGCUUCAUUCCACAGGCAGAUAGGGUGCUUGUGUCCUGAUGAAGUAAGAGAAUAUAUCUGGAAACACUUUGUGUACUGUGAAAUACUAUACAAAUGCAGGGCAGUACAAAUGUAAAUAUUAAUGUAUUUUAGUAAUAAUUUUAGCUUUUAUUUCAUCAUAUAUAAUAAUUUGUAGUGACUGGUGUGAAGUUAAAUAGAAUUAACCUAGAAUUAAUGAGUUUUGUAUUGCUCUCAUCUAUUUGAAGCAUCAGCUGUGCCUUUCAUGUUGCCUUGUGCAGCCCUGUGUAACCUCCUCUGUGCCUUUCCCAUGGAGCACUGUGUCAUAUCACAAGUAGAACUACAAGAAGAUAUUUCUCCUCAGGGCAGAGGCUGGGUCUUCCGAUUGAAUCUCCCUUCUUUCUUCAUUGAGAUCCUCUUCUUCUGGAAGCUGGUUUCACAUGGUGGCUUAGAUUUUUCCAUCUUUGUAUCUAGCACCAUUUGAAAUCAGUGUUUUAGGAGUAAGAAUUGCAGCACAGCCAAGGGUGGACUGCAGAGGAACUGCUGCUCAUGGAACUGGCUCCUCUCCUCUUGCCACUUGAGUCUGUUCGAGAAGUCCAGGGAAGAACUUGAAGAGCAAAAUACACUCUUGAGUUUGUUGGGUUUUGGGAGAGGUGACAGUAGAGAAGGGGGUUGUGUUUAAAAUAAACACAGUGGCUUGAGCAGGGGCAGAGGUUGUGAUGCUAUUUCUGUUGACUCCUAGCAGCCAUCACCAGCAUGAAUGUGUUCGUAGGGCCUUUGAGUGUGGCGAUUGUCAUAUUCUGUUGGAUAACAAUGUAUUGGGUGUCGAUUGUCAUGGGGCAGGGGAGAGGGCAGUACACCUGGAGGACCAUUUUGUCCACAUCGACACCAUCAGUCUGCUCUUAGAGGAUGCCCUGGAGUAUUCGGCGUUGAUUGCGGGGCACCCGAAAUCAGACUUGCCACCUGGACUGUCGAGGUGCAGACCCUGGGAGCACCACUGGCCCAUCUCUUACACAGGCUGACCGAUUUCUCCUGGUGUUCAGAGUCUGUUUUUGUCUAGCACCAUUUGAAAUCGGUUAUGAUGUAGGGGGAAAAGCAGCAGCCUCGAAGCCUCAUGCCAACUCUGGGCAGCAGCAGCCUGUGGUUUCCUGGAAGAUGGAUGGGCAGAGAAUAGGGAAGGAAGAUCAUGCUUUUCCCUACUAACUUCUGUAACUGCAUGUAUGAUACAUUAUUGCAGAGGUAAGAGAUAGUUUAAUGGAUUUUUAAAAACAAAUUACUAUAAUUUAUCUGAUGUUCUCUAGUUGCAUUUUGCUGAAAUGUAGUGCUGUUCUAAAUUCUGUAAAUUGAUUGCUGUUGAAUUAUCUUUCUGUUGAGAAGAGUCUAUUCAUGCAUCCUGACCUUAAUAAAUACUAUGUUCAGUUUAUCAUGUCUGUGUUUUUCAUCUAUUAUUUCCCAUUCAUAAUUCUGUGAUGAUAAGAAGUGGGUCCUGAAAAAUUAAUUGGCUGUGCAGAUCUUGCCUACUUCAUAAAGAAUUUGAAGUAGGUUACAGCCAGCCAGACAUUAAAAAUGAAGCCCAUUAAGAGAAGAAUGAAAUUCUAUGAGCCAAGAAAUAAAAUGAGAGAAAAGAUUAGGGAAGAGAAGAAAUGUUGAAGAUCAAGGCUGAGGGAUGCUCCCUACUGAAUGGGAAAACUCCUUAGUUCCACAUGGGCUGUAGACACAGCCCUUCUGCCAGCAACUGUUCCUGCAAGGAACUGGUGCUCAACUAAACAUACUGUCACAUGGUUCCUUGAAGGGGCACAGCACUGAUUUCACUUGCAUUAUAAAAGAUUGAGUGGUGCUUUUGACUAUUAGUUUAUGUCAACACUUCAAAACAAGAUGAGCCAGUUUUUUUUUGUUUUUUUUUUUUGUUUGUUUGUUUGUUUUAGACGGAGUCUCACCCUGUCACCCAGGCUGGAGUGCAAUGGCACUGUCCCCGCUCACUGCAACCUCCGCCUCCCGGGUUCAAGCAAUUCUGCCUCAGCCUUCCGAGUAGCUGGGAUUACAGGCGUGGCACCUCCACGCCCAGCUAAUUUCUGUAUUUUGUAGUAGAGACGGGGUUUCAUCAUGUUGGCCAGGCUUGUCUCGAACUGCUGACCCCGUGAUCCACCCACCUCAGCCUCCCAAAGUGCUGGGAUUACAGGCGUGAACCACCUCGCCUGGCCCAGUGAGCCAGUUUUGUAAAGCUAUUCAGAGAUUAGCCAGAUUUGAUUUGAUAGGGGAUCAAGCUUGUAGGAUCUUCAGGAAGGCGGGCUGUGGCCCCUUGAUCAGGCUUUUUGCACAGGAGGUGCAUGACUAUGAACUACCCUCAGUAGAACUCUUUUAAGCCAGUGGCUUGCAAUAAAUGAUGGCAAAUCAGCCACCUAGGAAGCCAUUUCUAAGCCCAACCCCCUGCCACAGUCUUCCUCUAGAUGGCUGCCCUGCCCAGUGGGCUGAGAGUGGGGGGCGGAAGUAGCAUUUGCUGGGAAGACUUGCCAGUACAUAUGUUGCACCCCCUCACUGCAGCUGCAGUGCUAUUUCAGGCUGUUGAUGGAAGAACCCAUGUUCUAAUCCCCAGGAUGUGGUGGGAAGACCCUAAGUGGUGGUGUUAGUUAAGACCCUAAGUUAUAUUGUUUUGUUCACUUCCCACUGAGAUAGGCUACAAUAGUAUUAAAUACCUAUAGGUCAGACAUUUUUGGGGUCUGUUGUACUACCUACCAAUUAAACAGUUUUUGAUCCGCCCACCACGCUCAAAGCUCCAGCCUAGGUGUUGCAAAUACAGACGACAGAUUUUUGCUCUCAGGAGGCCCUGAUUCCAGUCCUCAAACGAGGCUGUCCGUCUCCCAGAUGCUGCUCUUCAGGGCUCCUGGCGCCAGUGCUGAGGUGACAGAGC
rnacentral:lncRNA from 1 species